AUCCAGACUCCUACGGGAGGCAGCAGUGAGGAAUAUUGGUCAAUGGGCGGAAGCCUGAACCAGCCAAGUCGCGUGAGGGAAGAAGGCCCUGCGGGUCGCAGACCUCUUUGGACGGGGAGCAAGGCCGCCGACGUGUCGGCGGAAGGAGAGUACCCGUAGAACAAGCAUCGGCUAACUCCGUGCCAGCAGCCGCGGUAAUACGUAGGUGGCGAGCGUUAUCCGGAUUUACUGGGUGUAAAGGGCGUGUAGGCGGGAAUGCAAGUCAGAUGUGAAAACUAUGGGCUCAACCCAUAGCCUGCAUUUGAAACUGUUAUUCUAGAGUAUGGGAGAGGUAGGUGGAAUUCUUGGUGUAGGGGUAAAAUCCGUAGAGAUCAAGAGGAAUACUCAUUGCGAAGGCGACCUGCUAGAACAUAACUGACGCUGAUGCGCGAAAGCGUGGGGAGCAAACAGGAUUAGAUACCCCUGUAC
rnacentral:rRNA from 1 species